rnacentral:lncRNA from 1 species
GGAAAUGUAGUAGAGAAGUGCUGAUCCAGGCAGGAAGUGACAUAGCAAGGAGACUCAUAUUUAAGUGAAGGAGAAACAGGAAGGGUCCCUUUUUUUCCCGUUCACCUCCUCCAGCGGCAGGAUGUGAGCCAGCAAGGAGGGACGCCAAUAAAGCGUCUAAUAAGAUAAGUCUUAUAAAAUAUAUUGAUGUAUGAUAAUUGAUACUGAGCUAACAGAUGAGAAUCCUAGUCAUUGGCCAAGCAGCAUUGCACCUAAUACAAAGUUUCUGUGUAUUUAUUUGGGCCUAACUCGGACAGGUGGCUGGCAUAAAGCGUACACGUGGUGGUGGGGCUCAGCGGCUUUUGGCGGAAAGAUUUAUCGUGACAAAUGUAUUCUUGAAAAAAGCACAGGAAUGGAAAAUACGUGAAACAAGAGGGCAAGGAAAGGAUGUCACCACAAGUUUCAUGGUCCAGGAUGACCACCAUCCCUGCUCAGUGCGACCUCUAUGCUCCAGGAAUUGAUCCAUGAAUGGGUACUUAUUGGUGUUGGCCAUGGGAAAGGAACAUGUCUCUCGAAGUCUGAGAUCCAAACUCUCAUCUCGUACUGAGCUUCCAGAUGUUGGGUAAGUAAGACUUGGCUCCUCACAUUUUCAGUGCCAGUAAGAAAAUUCACCAUCCUGCUCUUUUAUGUUAAUUAAAAUUACGUUAUUUUAAUGUAGUUAUUUUUGGUUUGGUUUAUUUUCAACACCCUUGGGAAAAGAAAAAAGAUUCAAAUUUUCUCUUCCUUUAAGUCUAUAAUUAUACUUAAUUUGUUGGUUUGAAUAGCAUUUCCUUCCUUACACAUUUUAGCUGAAAAUGUUCAUACUACAGGGAAAUAUAUAUCCUUGGUUCACUACUUAAAAUUAUUUUGAAGCAAUUCAAUGCAUCAAUCCAGUUACCACAUCACAGGGUGGAACUCAAGAUUCAUGCGUGAUGAUUUUAGUAAAAAAAUUGGCAAGGAAGGCCAGGCACUGAGGUUGGUGCCCUGCCCUCCUUUGCCCCCCCAGCCCCUGUGAAUGCUCUUUAUACUGUUUUUCAUAGAAACUAAACUAUCUACUUCUCCUUUCUUCCCAACACUGACCUUUACAAAACAGUGUUGUGGAGAACAUGGAACACUAAAACUUGCCUUAACAUCAAAUAUCAAUUCCUGACUCCAAAAUACAUUCUGUAUGUAUUGAAGAGGUAAAUAUUCAAGUUUUCAAAGAGAAAUGUAAGCUAGUGUUUUAUAUUUGAAAUAGGUGGAUUUUCUAGGCUUUGAUGCAAAGGGAAUAAUUAAAUAUAAAAAUGAUAUCUUUCUAUAUAGAGAACAAAUAGAAAUCAUGUUGACAACAUUUUGGUGUGGCUAUUAACUUAUGCACAUCAGAGAACUCUGCUAAUGAUUGUUAGCCAUUGGCAAACAAUGCACCAUAAAGACAUUCAUAUACUUUGACCCUGUCAUAUAACUUUGGGGAUUUUAUUGUAAAGUAAUAAUUCAACAGAAAUAAAUCUCAAAUCAACAACA